AUACGGAGGAUGCGAGCGUUAUCCGGAUUUAUUGGGUUUAAAGGGUGCGUAGGCUGUUAGUUAAGUCAGGGGUGAAAUGCCGGUGCUCAACGCCGGAGCUGCCCUUGAUACUGGCUGGCUGGAGUGCGGAUGCCGUUGGAGGAAUGAGUGGUGUAGCGGUGAAAUGCUUAGAGAUCACUCAGAACACCGAUUGCGAAGGCAUCUGACGAAUCCGUCACUGACGCUGAGGCACGAAAGCGUGGGGAUAGAACAGGAUUAGAUACCCUGGUAUUCCACGCCGUAAACGAUGAUGACUAACCGUCGGCGAUAGACAGCCGGUGGCCAAGCGAAAGCGAUAAGUCAUCCACCUGGGGAGUACGUCGGCAACGAUGAAACUCAAAUGAAUUGACGGGG
rnacentral:rRNA from 1 species